UACAGAGGGUGCAAGCGUUAAUCGGAAUUACUGGGCGUAAAGCGCGCGUAGGCGGCUUGAUAAGUUGGCUGUGAAAUCCCCGGGCUUAACCUGGGAACUGCAUCCAUAACUGUCUGGCUAGAGUACAGUAGAGGGUGGUGGAAUUUCCUGUGUAGCGGUGAAAUGCGUAGAUAUAGGAAGGAACACCAGUGGCGAAGGCGACCACCUGGACUGAUACUGACGCUGAGGUGCGAAAGCGUGGGGAGCAAACAGG
rnacentral:rRNA from 1 species